rnacentral:rRNA from 1 species
GAUGAACGCUGGCGGCGUGCUUAACACAUGCAAGUCGAACGAAGCACUUUAUUUGAUUUCCUUCGGGACUGAUUAUUUUGUGACUGAGUGGCGGACGGGUGAGUAACGCGUGGGUAACCUGCCUUGUACAGGGGGACAACAGUUGGAAACGGCUGCUAAUACCGCAUAAGCGCACGGCAUCGCAUGAUGCAGUGUGAAAAACUCCGGUGGUAUAAGAUGGACCCGCGUUGGAUUAGCUAGUUGGUGAGGUAACGGCCCACCAAGGCGACGAUCCAUAGCCGACCUGAGAGGGUGACCGGCCACAUUGGGACUGAGACACGGCCCAAACUCCUACGGGAGGCAGCAGUGGGGAAUAUUGCACAAUGGGCGAAAGCCUGAUGCAGCGACGCCGCGUGAGCGAAGAAGUAUUUCGGUAUGUAAAGCUCUAUCAGCAGGGAAGAUAAUGACGGUA